rnacentral:rRNA from 1 species
AGAGUUUGAUCAUGGCUCAGGAUGAACGCUAGCUACAGGCUUAACACAUGCAAGUCGAGGGGCAGCAUGUUGGUUGCUUGCAACCAAUGAUGGCGACCGGCGCACGGGUGAGUAACGCGUAUCCAACCUACCCUUGUCCAUCGGAUAACCCGUCGAAAGGCGGCCUAACACGAUAUGCGGUUCUCAGCAGGCAUCUAACGAGAACGAAAUGUGAAGGAGAAGGAUGGGGAUGCGUCUGAUUAGCUUGUUGGCGGGGUAACGGCCACCAAGGCGACGAUCAGUAGGGGUUCUGAGAGGAACGGUCCCCACAUUGGAACUGAGACACGGUCCAACUCCGUACGGGGGCA